ACAUGAAUCACCUAGGGAUCUUGUUAAAAUGUAGAUUGUGACUCAGUAGAUUUAGGGUGGGCCCAAGAUUCCACAUUUCUAACAAGAUCACAGGUGGUGUGAAU
rnacentral:pre_miRNA from 1 species